UGUUCCUCUCUCCCAGACCGGCGACGUCGACGGCUCCGGCCUCCGGCCGCACCUCCACUUCCUCCUCUUCGGUGCUCGGCUCCACACCCUUCCCCCCUGGACGAAUUCCCCUGCGAGUUCUUCCAUGCGCUCUACUCCCUUCCCCCUCUGCAUCUAGGGUUUCGCCUGCCGGCGGCGCCCAUGGACUCCGACACCGGCGGAGGGGGCCGGGCCCGUACAGGCCUUCGAGCGGCGUGCUGCCUACCCAACAUCAUCCGCCAACGCUUCCUCUCCCCACCCUCACCCCACCCCCCGCGCGCUCGGCUUCGACGAGCUCCGCCACGACGAGCCCCUCACCACGCUUGCUAGCCAAAUCGAUCCCUUCGCGCUCCCGCUUCUUCAGCUUCAGGUGAGCAUGCAUGCUACCCAUGCUUGAUUAAUUCUUCUCCUCCAUGACUCCAAUUCCAUUUUUCCACCAUUUAUUUGGUCCUCAACAAGCUUGUAAAAAGCCACGUUAAUUCACUACGAAUUCAAUUCCAUAUCCCCUCAUCUUUCUCCUGCAUUUAUUUCCUGUGCGAGAUUUGAUAUUGUUGUCUGCAAACUGCCUUGGGGGGAAGGUCUUGAAUAUAACAAUCAGCUAGCAUCGCUCCUGAAUUCUUCCCUAGUCUUUUAGUGAGCAGUACCUAUACUUUGCCUUCUAUCUCGUUCCUUGAAAAUUUUGACUGAUUUUGUCUCCGGUUGUUUUACUUGCCCCUGGGAGGAAGACAUAGACGCACGCUCGUCUAGUGCCGCCUGUCACCCUCCCCGUUGAGCAGGACUCCCCCACGUCCAUGGUGUUCGAUAAAAUGUCUGUGGGUGCACUGGCCUUGUAGGCACAGAUUCAGCGAUUGUGAGGCUUGUUCAGUGACUCCACUAGUCACAGAAAAACUUAGGGUGGAAAAGUACGCACCAAAUUCACGGAGCUGUUAAGUGAUGAGCACAUAAACAUGGAGUUUGAGGCCAAUAGCUCUUAUCUUCCUCCUGCUCGUGCUCAUUAUCACAUCACAGUUUGAGUGGAAACAUCAGAUUAGCGAGGUAAUGGAGGAGGUAACAGGCACUUGAAAAGGAGGAUGCUGUUAAAGAGAAAUUAAAAUUGAUCCACUCAAAGUUGAUAGGUUGGAUUUCAGUAAUCAUCAUUUCUUCAAUGCUCAUAUAAGAUGACUUACAGCAGUCACCAUGGUCCUGACAAUCACUCCACUGCUUCUUAUGAACUUCUCCAACACCCAUGGAGGUUUCAGCUUUUGAUCAGAGAGGUAUGAGAAAAUUUGGGCUGUCAAGGGACCUGUUGUCACUAGCAGUUAAAUAUAUGGAAGGUUGAACCUAUUAUAGCAUUCACUUUAAAUGUCUAGUUGGUUCUAGGAUUAACCAUUAGAUACUUUGAUUCUUGUUAUUUCCUUUGCACUCAGUUAAUGAGGAUUUAUUUGUUAAUAUGGACCGAUUAUGGCUUUAACUUGUAUUUUGAUUCAGCGUUGAGCUUGUAACAUGACUCAACUAAAUUCAGUGUAAGCAUCUAGUCCCUCUAGGUAUGUUUCGGUGAUUAAUGACAAACAUUAUUGUGACUAA